rnacentral:rRNA from 1 species
UGGGGAAUAUUGGACAAUGGGCGAAAGCCUGAUCCAGCCAUGCCGCGUGUGUGAAGAAGGUCUUCGGAUUGUAAAGCACUUUAAGUUGGGAGGAAGGGCAGUUACCUAAUACGUGAUUGUUUUGACGUUACCGACAGAAUAAGCACCGGCUAACUCUGUGCCAGCAGCCGCGGUAAUACAGAGGGUGCAAGCGUUAAUCGGAAUUACUGGGCGUAAAGCGCGCGUAGGUGGUUAGUUAAGUUGGAUGUGAAAUCCCCGGGCUCAACCUGGGAACUGCAUUCAAAACUGACUGACUAGAGUAUGGUAGAGGGUGGUGGAAUUUCCUGUGUAGCGGUGAAAUGCGUAGAUAUAGGAAGGAACACCAGUGGCGAAGGCGACACCUGGACUGAUACUGACACUGAGGUGCGAAAGCGUGGGGAGCAAACAGGAUUAGAACCCACGUAGUCCCUGAGCGGGCUGGCAAGGCGCAU